rnacentral:rRNA from 1 species
CGAGGAAUAUUGGGCAAUGCCCGCAAGGGUGACCCAGCAACGCCGCGUGGAGGAUGAACGUCGUAAGAUUGUAAACUCCUGUUAGAGGGGAAGAAUAGUACCGGUUGGACCGGUAUAUGACUGUACCCUCAGAGAAAGCCCCGGCUAACUACGUGCCAGCAGCCGCGGUAAUACGUAGGGGGCAAGCGUUGUCCGGAUUUACUGGGUGUAAAGGGCGCGCAGGCGGGAUAAAAAGUCAGUGGUGAAAUCCUACAGCUUAACUGUAGAACUGCCUUUGAUAAUUUUAUUCUUGAGUUCGGGAGAGAGAGACGGAAUUCCAGGUGUAGUGGUGAAAUACGUAGAUAUCUGGAAGAACACCAGUUGCGAAGGCGGUCUCUUGGUCCGACACUGACGCUGAGGCGCGAAAGCGUGGGGAGCAAACA